GAACGCUGGCGGCAUGCCUUACACAUGCAAGUCGAACGGCGGCACGGGAGUAAUCCUGGUGGCGAGUGGCGAACGGGUGAGUAAUAUAUCGGAACGUGCCCAGUCGUGGGGGAUAACGCAGCGAAAGCUGUGCUAAUACCGCAUACGAUCUCUGGAUGAAAGCGGGGGACUCGCAAGAGCCUCGCGCGAUUGGAGCGGCCGAUAUCAGAUUAGCUAGUUGGUGGGGUAAAGGCCCACCAAGGCGACGAUCUGUAGCUGGUCUGAGAGGACGACCAGCCACACUGGAACUGAGACACGGUCCAGACUCCUACGGGAGGCAGCAGUGGGGAAUUUUGGACAAUGGGCGAAAGCCUGAUCCAGCAAUGCCGCGUGCAGGAUGAAGGCCUUCGGGUUGUAAACUGCUUUUGUACGGAACGAAACGGUCUCUCUUAAUACGGGGGGCUAAUGACGGUACCGUAAGAAUAAGCACCGGCUAACUACGUGCCAGCAGCCGCGGUAAUACGUAGGGUGCGAGCGUUAAUCGGAAUUACUGGGCGUAAAGCGUGCGCAGGCGGUUAUAUAAGACAGAUGUGAAAUCCCCGGGCUCAACCUGGGACCUGCAUUUGUGACUGUAUAGCUAGAGUACGGUAGAGGGGGAUGGAACUCCGCGUGUAGCAGUGAAAUGCAUAGAUAUGUCACAGAACACCAAUUGCGAAGGCAGCUUACUAUGGUAUGAUUGACGCUGAGGCACGAAAGCGUGGGGAUCAAA
rnacentral:rRNA from 1 species